AUUGAACGCUGGCGGCAGGCCUAACACAUGCAAGUCGAGCGGUAACAGGAGAAAGCUUGCUUUCUUGCUGACGAGCGGCGGACGGGUGAGUAAUGUAUGGGGAUCUGCCCGAUAGAGGGGGAUAACUACUGGAAACGGUGGCUAAUACCGCAUAAUGUCUACGGACCAAAGCAGGGGCUCUUCGGACCUUGCACUAUCGGAUGAGCCCAUAUGGGAUUAGCUAGUAGGUGGGGUAAAGGCUCACCUAGGCGACGAUCUCUAGCUGGUCUGAGAGGAUGAUCAGCCACACUGGGACUGAGACACGGCCCAGACUCCUACGGGAGGCAGCAGUGGGGAAUAUUGCACAAUGGGCGCAAGCCUGAUGCAGCCAUGCCGCGUGUAUGAAGAAGGCCUUAGGGUUGUAAAGUACUUUCAGCGGGGAGGAAGGUGAUAAGGUUAAUACCCUUAUCAAU
rnacentral:rRNA from 1 species